rnacentral:rRNA from 1 species
UACGAAGGGGGCGAGCAUUGUUCGGAAUUACUGGGCGUAAAGGGUGCGUAGGCGGAUUGGAUAGUCAGAUGUGAAAGCCCAGGGCUUAACCCUGGAACUGCAUUUGAUACUGCCAGUCUGGAGUAUUGGAGAGGAGCGUGGAAUUCUCAGUGUAGAGGUGAAAUUCGUAGAUAUUGAGAGGAACACCGGUGGCGUAGGCGACGCUCUGGCCAAAUACUGACGCUGAGGCACGAAAGUGUGGGGAGCAAACAGG